rnacentral:rRNA from 1 species
AGAGUUUGAUCAUGGCUCAGGACGAACGCUGGCGGCGUGCUUAAUACAUGCAAGUCGAGCGAGGUUACUGUUUUGGAUCCCUUCGGGGUGAAGAAGCUUUAACCUAGCGGCGGACGGGUGAGUAACGCGUGGGUAACCUACCCCAAAGUCCGGGAUAACAGCGGGAAACCGCUGCUAAUACCGGAUGUCUUUACCUUGGGGCAUCUUGAGGUAAAGAAAGGUAACGCUUUGGGAUGGGCCCGCGUCCCAUUAGCUAGUUGGUGAGGUAACGGCUCACCAAGGCGACAAUGGGUAGCCGGCCUGAGAGGGUGGACGGCCACACUGGGACUGAGACACGGCCCANACUCCUACGGGAGGCAGCAGUAGGGAAUAUUGCGCAAUGGACGGAAGUCUGACGCAGCGACGCCNCGUGAGCGAUGAAGGUCUUCGGAUCGUAAAGCUCUGUCCUUGGGGAAGAAGGUCUUCGGACUUGACGGUACCCAAGAAGAAAGCCCCGGCUAACUACGUGCCAGCAGCCGCGGUAAUACGUAGGGGGCGAGCGUUGUCCGGAAUUACUGGGCGUAAAGGGUGCGUAGGCGGCCCUUUAAGUCGGAUGUGAAAGCCCGCGGCUUAACCGCGGAAUGGCAUUCGAAACUGGAGGGCUUGAGUGUCGGAGAGGGUAGUGGAAUUCCCAGUGUAGCGGUGAAAUGCGUAGAUAUUGGGAGGAACACCAGUGGCGAAGGCGACUACCUGGACGAUAACUGACGCUGAGGCACGAAAGCUAGGGGAGCAAACAGGAUUAGAUACCCUGGUAGUCCUAGCCGUAAACGAUGGGUACUAGGUGUGGGUGGUUUCGAUACCAUCCGUGCCGUAGUUAACGCAUUAAGUACCCCGCCUGGGGAGUACGUGCGCAAGCAUGAAACUUAAAUGAAUUGACGG